CCUACGGGUGGCAGCAGUGAGGAAUAUUGGUCAAUGGACGAGAGUCUGAACCAGCCAAGUAGCGUGAAGGAUGACUGCCCUAUGGGUUGUAAACUUCUUUUAUAUGGGAAUAAAAUGUUCCACGUGUGGGCUUUUGUAUGUACCAUAUGAAUAAGGAUCGGCUAACUCCGUGCCAGCAGCCGCGGUAAUACGGAGGAUCCGAGCGUUAUCCGGAUUUAUUGGGUUUAAAGGGAGCGUAGGUGGAUUGUUAAGUCAGUUGUGAAAGUUUGCGGCUCAACCGUAAAAUUGCAGUUGAAACUGGCAGUCUUGAGUACAGGAGAGGUGGGCGGAAUUCGUGGUGUAGCGGUGAAAUGCUUAGAUAUCACGAAGAACUCCGAUUGCGAAGGCAGCUUACUGGACUGCAACUGACACUGAGGCUCGAAAGUGUGGGUAUCAAACAGGAUUAGAUACCCCAGUAGUC
rnacentral:rRNA from 1 species